GACAACGGACAUCUCCCGGUGUGGGAUGAGGAUGGAGGACAUCCUGUGGCUUGGGAAGUGGACAGUGAACAUCCCCCAGCUUUGAAAGAUGAUGGCAAACGUGCAGCGUUUUGGGAAGAGGAUGGAGAACCUGCAGCAUUUUGGGAAGAGGAUGGAGAAGCUGCAGCAUUUUUGUAAGAGGAUGGAGAACCUGCAGUGUUUUGGGAAGAGGAUGGAGAACCUGCAGUGUUUUGGGAAGAGGAUGGAGAACCUCCCUCUGCUUGGGAAGAGGACAAUGAACCUCCCUCCGCUGUGGGAUCCUGGGCUGAACAUUCUGACAGCAGCACAGCCCUGCAGCCAGAGGGGAGAGGGGAGUGGUGCCUGAUGCAGCUGAGUAAGUCUGCUCUGUUCCUGGGUGCCCGAGCAGGUGCUGUGUGUGUGUCUCGGCAUCAGCUGCACCCAGUGUUGCUCUGCAGCUGAAUGUCACAGAGCCAUUUAUUGUCCUUCCCCAGCUGACACCAAGGGGCUCACGGCCCCAGGGAGCGGGGCUGGCUCUGGCUCUGCUGCAAGGCGGGCUCUCACUCUGGGAGGGAGCGUCUUCCACGUGGUUUCUUUCAGGGAACGCCGUGAGCGAGGCGGAGCCUGCCGAGAAAUACCUGGAAGUGGAGCAGAUUGGCCAAGGGGCUUUCGGAACCGUUUAUAAAGGACUCGACAGGGCCACUGGAGGAGAGGUGGCCAUAAAGAAAAUGAGUCUCAGAGGGCAGAACAGGGAACGAGCUGUGAAUGAGAUCCUGCUCCUGAAGGACAAGAAGAACCCCAACAUUGUCAACUCUUU